rnacentral:rRNA from 1 species
UAGCAAUACCGCUGACGAGUGGCGCACGGGUGAGUAACACGUACACAAUCUGCCUUAUACUGGGGCAUAGCCUUGGGAAACUAAGAUUAAUUCCCCAUAACAUUGCGAAAUGGCAUCAUUUUGCAAUUAAAACUACGGUGGUAUGAGAUGAGUGUGCGUCUGAUUAGCUAGUUGGCGAGGUAACGGCUCACCAAGGCAACGAUCAGUAACUGGUCUGAGAGGAUGAUCAGUCACACGGGCACUGAGACACGGGCCCGACUCCUACGGGAGGCAGCAGUAGGGAAUAUUGGACAAUGGGCGAAAGCCUGAUCCAGCCAUCCCGCGUGAAGGAUUAAGGUCCUAUGGAUUGUAAACUUCUUUUCUCUGGGAAUAAAAAGUGGGAUUUAUCCUGCCUUGAAGGUACCAGAGGAAUAAGCACCGGCUAACUCCGUGCCAGCAGCCGCGGUAAUACGGAGGGUGCAAGCGUUAUCCGGAUUCACUGGGUUUAAAGGGUGCGUAGGUGGCUUGGUAAGUCAGUGGUGAAAGCCCGGAGCUCAACUCCGGAACUGCCAUUGAUACUGCUUAGCUUGAAUCAGGUCGAGGUGGAUGGAAUAUUACAUGUAGCGGUGAAAUGCUUAGAUAUGUAAUAGAACACCGAUUGCGAAGGCAGUUCACUAGGCCUGUAUUGACACUGAGGCACGAAAGCGUGGGGAUCAAACAGGAUUAGAUACCCUGGUAGUCCACGCCCUAAACGAUGUAAACUCGACGUUAGCGAUAUACAGUUAGCGUCCAAGCGAAAGCGUUAAGUUUACCACCUGGGAAGUACGACCGCAAGGUUGAAACUC